GUUUGAUUUUUCAAUGAGUUGUUUCCCCUUGGUUAGCAUUCUCAAGAGCUGUACCCAUAUCCUGUGGUUUGGUUUCGUGCUGUUGGUGCAGGAUAGGCCACUGAGGUUUACGGGUCAACAUCUGUAGCCUGACUCUGAGGUGGUGGCCAGGCCAGAGAAUACCAGCUCUGGUUUUUCAAAUGUGUGGACAGCUGAAACUUUGAUGAAACCCUUCUGUCUUCCACCCCUCUCACUCUCCUGUCCCUCCAUUCCAGGAGAGACCUGCAGGGGAGUUUGCACCCCCUCAGCUAAAGGAAUUUCUUACAUGAUAGAGAUCUGGUCAAGAGAAGUAAGAACUCAGCUGACUGAAAGAUUGGGCAGUUUCCAAUUAUGAACUCAUUCUGCCCAGAUAAAAUCAUAUUGCAAAACCACUUGCAGCUGCUUUCUGAAGCUGGUCAUUCUUGGACUGUGUCUGCGAGUAGCCUUUUCCGUAGGUUACUCAGACCUAAUUAGCAAAUUCCUGUUAAGAAUGGACAUACGCAAUGUUAGCCCUGUUGACAUUUAUGUCCAGGCCUGAACUCCCAGUACAUUUGCUGAGACAUUUUAUAAGGCCCUACCGCACACCCAGAGCUGCUCCUUGCUUUCUCCAGCCCCCUUGGUGAGCCUGGCACAGCAUCCCCACCAAGACCCUUCAUGGCCUGGGGAAGCCACCCACAGAAACAGAAGGCUAAUUUGGGCAUAUUGUGGCUCCCCAACUCAAGGUGUCCCGUCCCUGUGAAAUCUUGGAAGGAGCAAAUGAUGGAACUGGCAAUGUUGUCCAACCACUGCAAUAGGAGAAAAGAUCCAGAGGUACCUAAACAUAGACUUCAGAAAUAAGCAAAGGACAGUGUAAAAACACAGCAAUUCAAUGCCCCAUGCUGCAAGAGGAUCGUAUUAAUCCUGAGGAAGCAUGGUGUUCUUGUUUCCAGUCCUCCUCUUGUUGUUGAAGGUGAAGUCUUGGCCCUGCAGUGCUCAGUGACAGUGGUGCCACUGACCUGCAAACAUGAUUUUUCUCUGCUCCCAGUGCAGUUGUGCUAUCUAUUGCUUGAACAAUGUGAGAGGCAAAAAGUCCACCGCCCCCCCUAAGUCCUGAAUUCCUUUUGUGCAGACAACUUUUUGGCCUGUACUCCUACCUAAAGGGCCCUGGGGGAAAGCACUUCUUCCAGUUCUCUUUGUUGAGAAGACUCUUCAGUUAGCAUGCCAGAGAAAUUAAACUGGUGGGAUAGAGAGUAUGAGAGGUAGAGUGGAAGAGAAAGGGUGAGUGAGUACAAAUUAUUUCAUUAUGAACUUUCCAUGAAAUAGCAAGGGUAGAGUUAGGGGUGGGAGAAUGUUAAUUUACGGCAGAAUGUUUUUGCAGCCCUUCUUCAACUAGUUGCAUUAUAGGAAGAUAAAUACAGCCCAAGCCAAAUCUUCCUCUGGGCUAAGCCUGCUAGUUUGAAGAUUUAUGUGCAACUUGUAUGCAGCCUGAUCAUUUCACCGUGUGACUGAACAAAGGUCUUCACUUGCAGUGUAGGAUGUUGUUAAAGGCAUCAAUAUUCAGAACUGGAGCACAGCAGGAAGCUGCCUGAUGAGGCCGUUACUAAAUUUCAGUGGCCAAAAGCAACUUGUUGAUCUCGGUGAAUGUGUUGCUCACAGCACAGGGUAUGAGGCUAUCUCACAGUACAGCAAACACGAGGCUUUUUUUGUCAGUGACCAUGCAGAAAAGCCAAGCUCUGUUUGUUCGGCAAGAAAAUGCUUACACUAGCUUAUUUUUUCCCCUGAAACUCAGCUUUCCUAAUUCUGUGUGGGAGGGCUUUUUUCCAGGCUUUUUAAAGUAAUAUCAGUAUUAUAGCUAAUGAGGCAGUGGAAAGCAAGCUGGUCCAUUCGCUGUAGCUAAUGACUCCAUUCCCGUGAGCCUAAUCAAAGAUUUGUACAUUUAAUUGCUGUCAAGUCAGCUCUAGCCACCUGCCAUUUCUGCCACACCUGAGCUCCUUUCUCAGUGGCCUGUGAUUCUAAAUGAAUCCAUCUCUUUUUCUAAGGGAAGGAAAACAGAGCUGCCAAGCAACCUUGAAGUGGUGCUUUACCCUUAGAGCAAAGAUCAAACAGUCUGCGUUGUCACUGAGCAAUAUGUAUCUUAACUGUCUGUGGCACAGAUUUUUUGAAAAUUUAUUAACCUCAUAUUGGAGAUCAGGGAAGUGAGAAAUACACCCUUGUCUGGACAUGUCUUGGACUUGAGACAGGUUUCUGUCAGAGGCAAAAGUGAUUUUUGUUGGCUCACCACUGAACAAAGUUGAAAUACAUUUAUUUGCAAUUUUCUCUGAUGGAAAAUACCACUGAAGCCAUUAUUCCACUCCUGCAGUGGGCUGGUGGGGUAUUUUGACCAACCUUUGUCCUCAGCAUCACGGUUCCUAAACAUCCUGCCUUCUCCAUAGGGAGUUGAUGCAGGAAAUGUUGUGGGGCCAUGUUCAUUUGAAUGUAAGAGAUAACUCUUGUUCAUUGUUCCAGAAAAAAAAAAAAAAAAAAAAAAAGGGUGAGGGGUAGGGGGUGGGGGGAAUGACCCAGUUCCUGCUAACAUAUUGUGAAAUGAAAAUGUUCUUUGUGGUCCUCAGUGGAUUAGCUUACCUCUGUCCAAGCAAGUGUCACUACUAAGAGUCAGAUAUCUAAUGUUAUGUACUUCUUCAAACUUACUUCCAGAGAAGCUUUUAAAGUCGUUAGAAAAGAAGCAGUCUAUGAAGUCACUCUGAAACGUUAUUAGUUUCUAAAUAACUGUUCAUUUUUUAGACAAAUGAUUUCCUGGUGAUAUUGGGAAUUAUGUGAUCAUGUGUUGUGAUCAGUCUGCCUGAUCAUCCCUCACUAGUUGUUUGCCUAUUCUUGGCCAAGUUUAGCCCUAUUUAAGACAGGAAGACAACUGUGAGAGAGAUUACAUUGCAGUUUCAUGAAAAUAAGUAUACCCAAGUGGAGAUGCAAGACUCCAAAAAUCCAUCCUACGAAUGUCCCAAGUAGGAGAAGCCUGGCAAGUGAAUUCAUAUGUUGUUAGCAAAAGAAGAGAGACCAUAUGGGUGCCCCAACCACAGGGAUAACCUUAGCUGGAGAUUACCGUAAACCACAAGCACAGGUCUGUGGAAUAUGAGGCAUCAUUGAUUUUCAUUCUCACAGAAGUAUUUGGUUUCCUCUCUCAACACAUCACGGAAAGCAAAGACACAAAUAAGAUAUAUAAGAUCUUUGACUGGAUACGAUGAAUUUCUUUGUAAGUAGUUUGAUCCAAAUAUAAACUGAAGUUCUUUUGCCAAUAAUGGAAAAGCUUUCCAAUAGCUUUUAAUACAAUUUACUUCAAUUUUAGGAGCUCUUCCUCUGCCAGAAGAGUUUAAUUGGCCAUGAAGUCCUGGGAGUUUUUACAUUGUGAGUUGACAGAUGCAUAGCUUAAUUUAGCAGGAAAACCAAAGAAUAAAUUAAAGGAUCUGAAAACA
rnacentral:lncRNA from 1 species